UUAAAUAUCCCUUAUUUACCAGAACAGGAAACGGAAAUAUUUAGAAACACAAAAUGGAAGAACACAAUAACUAAGUUCGGUUUAAUACAAUUAAUAAAACAUCCGACGAGAACAACAAAAAAUGUUCAUAUAUAAUUGAUCAUAUAUAUGCAAGUAAUACUGAGAACGUGAAAGACAAUUUCGUCUCAUCUCUAUCUAUGAGUGAUCAUUUUCCUGUAUGCAUGGUUUAUUCAACUAAAACUCACAAAAAUAAAAAAAUGGGUUGCAUAAGGUGAUAAAAUAUAGAAUGACUAAAACUUUUUGUGAAGAAAAUUUUCAACGUGAUCUUUUAACAUCUGGUAUAGAUAUUACUGAAACAAUUACAAAUCCAAAUAACUCUUUAAAUUUCUUUUACUCUGCUUUAAAUGGUGUAUUAGCCAAACAUGCGCCAAUGAAAGAAAAACGCGUUAAACG